UGGGGAAUAUUGCACAAUGGGCGCAAGCCUGAUGCAGCCAUGCCGCGUGUAUGAAGAAGGCCUUCGGGUUGUAAAGCACUUUCAGCGGGGAGGAAGGCGUUAAGGUUAAUAACCUUGGCGAUUGACGUUACCCGCAGAAGAAGCACCGGCUAACUCCGUGCCAGCAGCCGCGGUAAUACGGAGGGUGCAAGCGUUAAUCGGAAUUACUGGGCGUAAAGCGCACGCAGGCGGUCUGUCAAGUCGGAUGUGAAAUCCCCGGGCUCAACCUGGGAACUGCAUUCGAAACUGGCAGGCUAGAGUCUUGUAGAGGGGGGUAGAAUUCCAUGUGUAGCGGUGAAAUGCGUAGAGAUGUGGAGGAAUACCGGUGGCGAAGGCGGCCCCCUGGACAAAGACUGACGCUCAGGUGCGAAAGCGUGGGGAGCAAACAGG
rnacentral:rRNA from 1 species